AUUACAUGGUCACCAUUUACAACCACCUGCUGGCUUCUCCAUUGACUUUGCAUGUAGGAAGCCAGCAAAGUGGGUAAUUGUGACCAUGUGGCAGUGGGACACUAUGAUAUCAAAAUUAUGAGCUGGGCACCAAGUACCUGCAUCAAGAUCAUGUGACUUCAUGGAUGCUGAGACACUUGGAACUUCAAGGACUGGUCAAAUAGAGGAAAAAACAGUUAGGAUGGCAAUGAAUGGAAAGUUGCAUUAAGAAAAGACAGAAACAGGAAAAAAAUGAAUCCCAUCUUUUGUGAGCAAGAAAAGAGAACAGAAGGAACAAAAAGAUGUCAACAACAGCAGUGAAUACCUCAACUGGGGUCUGACUUAUUGCACAGAAGCCUAGCAGCAUGCAAAGAGCUGAAAGCAAAUGAGUACAGGAUUUAAAAAGCAUUCUUAGAAUCCGCUAAGAAGAUAGUGACAAAAAAAAACCCAAUUAUGAAUCAUAAGACAAAAUUGAUCAUACAGCU